rnacentral:snRNA from 1 species
GGAGAUGCAAGGGCCAUCUGGCUGCAACAUCUGUGCCCUUCCUCCCUCAUCACUCCAUGUGCAUCCCUCCAGAAGCUGCACACUCAGAAACCAUCCCUGGGUAGAAGAGGACCAGUCCCCAGUCAAGGAUCUACAAAUAGCAGAACUCCCUGCUAAAACCUCCAAACAAGCUCUCAGGAAUUAAUAUGUUGGAAACUGACCCAACUGUACUGGGAUCUCAUAUGUGCUACCAC